rnacentral:rRNA from 1 species
CGAGCGGUAGAGAGAAGCUUGCUUCUCUUGAGAGCGGCGGACGGGUGAGUAAUGCCUAGGAAUCUGCCUGGUAGUGGGGGAUAACGUUCGGAAACGGACGCUAAUACCGCAUACGUCCUACGGGAGAAAGCAGGGGACCUUCGGGCCUUGCGCUAUCAGAUGAGCCUAGGUCGGAUUAGCUAGUUGGUGGGGUAAUGGCUCACCAAGGCGACGAUCCGUAACUGGUCUGAGAGGAUGAUCAGUCACACUGGAACUGAGACACGGUCCAGACUCCUACGGGAGGCAGCAGUGGGGAAUAUUGGACAAUGGGCGAAAGCCUGAUCCAGCCAUGCCGCGUGUGUGAAGAAGGUCUUCGGAUUGUAAAGCACUUUAAGUUGGGAGGAAGGGUUGUAGAUUAAUACUCUGCAAUUUUGACGUUACCGACAGAAUAAGCACCGGCUAACUCUGUGCCAGCAGCCGCGGUAAUACAGAGGGUGCAAGCGUUAAUCGGAAUUACUGGGCGUAAAGCGCGCGUAGGUGGUUUGUUAAGUUGGAUGUGAAAUCCCCGGGCUCAACCUGGGAACUGCAUUCAAAACUGACUGACUAGAGUAUGGUAGAGGGUGGUGGAAUUUCCUGUGUAGCGGUGAAAUGCGUAGAUAUAGGAAGGAACACCAGUGGCGAAGGCGACCACCUGGACUAAUACUGACACUGAGGUGCGAAAGCGUGGGGAGCAAACAGGAUUAGAUACCCUGGUAGUCCACGCCGUAAACGAUGUCAACUAGCCGUUGGAAGCCUUGAG